AAAAUACCUGAACAGGACUCUUCUGGAAUUGGCAAGGGUAUCCACAGAUGGUCUUGUUAUCUUUUCUGGUUAUCCUGGUCAGCAGAAAGCUAAAGUCUCUGAGCUAUCAAAAUUUGGAAGGCCGGCCAAACUACGGAGUUCCUCCUGGUGGAUAAGGUACUUUGUUCAGACUCGCUUAGAAGAGAAUGAAGCUGCGGCAAAGAAGUUUGAGCAGGCCGCCAAGAAGAGGUCGUACAAGCCAAACUGUCAAGUUUUUCACCUCACUUCAGACCAUUGAUCUCGUACAAGCCUAAGUGCCACAGCUUGUUUGGUCAAUAUUUCCACAGCUUGUUUGAUCAACAUUUCCAAUUCCUGUUCUGA
rnacentral:misc_RNA from 1 species